rnacentral:lncRNA from 1 species
CCAUAAUUCUUUUCUCCUUCUUCUCUCUUCACUCUCUCUACGCCGGCCCAGCUCCGCCCACCGCCGCCGGCCGUAAAUCGCCGCCGCCGACGGACCACCUCCAAAUUCACACCAUGUAAUCUGCAGAACUUCCUCUUUCCAUAUCUCCAAACCAAAUCCUUCAAAAAUCCCUCAAACUCCUUGAAUCUUAGAUCUAGGAAACUUUCCCGUCACUUUUUUGCCCAAAUUCUUGAAGCUCCAACCACUACUGCCCCACAAUACCUGCAUCAAUGGAUAGAACUUCCCAAGACCUAGCUAUUGAUGCCAACUUUACCCUGAAAUCCGGCAACCAAAAUCCGGCGACCUCCCCGAACAUCCACUUUGGGCAUACCACCAACUUUUUCGGCCACUUGAAUCAAAAAAUGGUAAAAAUCCUAUUCUUUUUUGUGGCUGUUUUUUUCUAUUUUAUUUUUAUUUUUUCAGAUUUUAUUUUUGUCUAUUAUUAAUUAUUUUAGCAUUAGUUUUUGAAGUUUGAAAUGUUAAAUUUUCUGUUUUUGCACUUGUUGAAGUAGUAAAAUAGUUUUGUGUUGAUAAAGUGAGGUAGUGACAAAUACUUAAGAGUAUAUGGUACUUGUUUGGUUGUUUAUUUACUGCUUCAAGACUCUUUGAGUACAACACUCAAAAGUCAAAUUGUUUGGUAAGAAAAUGUAGACCUUUGGACAGUGUUUGAAUAAAAGUCUGUCUUUGAAUAGUGGAGAGCAGAUUUUGUUUGAAAUACUUGACAAGAUUUGAACCAGAAAGUCUGGCAUUUGUAAUUUAAGAGCAGAUUUUGUAGAAAAAUUUGUCAAAAAUAUUGAUUUUUUAUUUCUUGAAAUAACUGAUUGUUUUGAUAUAUAGGAGGACACUCCAUCUUAUUGAGGGAGCUCUACACACACAAAAAGGAAAAAAAAUCAGUAGCUAUAAUAUCCCUUAGCAGCUUUGUUGAGUUGAUUCUUAAGUGAAAAACUUGUUUAAGGAAAAUAGAGUAGUCUUGAAAGAUUUUUCUAGAGUUACAUAAUUGUACUGUUUUGCUGGAGUAUUUCUAGUUUUUUUUCUUGGGUUUGAAUCUGCUAGCUGUCGCUGUCUUUUGCUGUUGUUGCUGCCCGUUUAAUUAUUUUGCUGUUGAUUUUGGAAAGAGGUGACUCUGCUGUAUUUGUUCUUCUUUCUGCUGUCCAGGUAAUUUUCGGACCAUGUAAACUCAUAAAAUCGAGUUGGAAUGAAAGAUAAUGACACUGGGA